CUGUUUCUGUUUCUUAUUUGUUUUUGACGGAAAACUCUUGAUUGUUUUUUGAGCAUUGGAAUCCUUAUACGCAGGCAGAAACUAUUGCAAACCUCGGUCACUAAACACCUUGCAAAUAGUUGCUCUGAACUCUUCAGAAAACCCUUCUGUUAUCAUAGCUUAAAUUUUGUGUUCUAUAGUUUCUUCUUUGGCGUUUGAUUAUCUGCGGUUCAUGUUCUCAACAGAGUUACCGACACAUAAUUGUCAACACGUAUUGUAGCAUCCAGGUACAGAAGAGCUGUAUAAAAUUUCUUUUCAGCUUUUGUCUCAUUUUCCAUCGAACAACAGGAUAUGUGCUGACAAAAGCAAAUGAGCAGUUGUUCAUGCUAUUACCAUGUGCAAAUUUGUUGCUGCUGUCAGAUUUUUUGCAGAGCCACUGAUGCAGAAAACCCUUUGGUCUAUUAUUUCUUUCUGAAGAAUUGAAUCCGUUAUCAUAUCUCUGAGAACUACUGCCAGGUGCUGGAGUUGAUUUAUGUCUAUCAUGUCUCGGAUGAUACUCUGUCAGUUCAGGUGGGUUGAGUGCAAGUGUUUCAACUCGUAAAGUGGUUUUUAAAAUGUUAGAACGAUUUAAUCUUUUGAAACAUGUUAUAAUAUGAUGAGUACCACUUAGCAUGUGCCUAGUGCCACCCUCUGAUCCAUCGAGUUUUAUCUAACCUGAAAUUUUGACACUAUCAGUGAAUGAUUAAACUUAGUUCGAUUAGUUUGUUUCUUUAGAAUGUUCUAUUCUAUCUUGUUAGUGUCUUAUUAUUGAUUGCUCCAUGCUUUGAAUUUUGGAGAAAAUUACCAAGUCACAUAUCAGUGUUAACGGUGCUUUAUUGUUGAGUGAUGUAUGUGGAAAACACCAAGACCAGUGCAACAAAUAAUAUUUAUGAGACUAUUGACUUUACAGGUGGUGACUGGUGGUAUUUACUGCCAAAGAGAUAAUUUUAAGCACUUAAAUUUGGAGGAAACUUUCAUAGGCUUAAAUAUUGAUUGGCCGAACCUAGUUUGACUAUAUGGCUCAUAUGGUGUCUGUGUUCUCAUGAUUUUUUUGAAUAAUUGCAUCCACAUUUAGGUUAUGAAUUUAUUGCCUUGGAUUGAGAAGUAAGGUCCUUGUUCUUGCUACAGCUGAAACUGGUAGUGGAAUCCACAACAAUUUGAGUGGCCUACCACUGUCAUGAACAACUGCAUGCCUGGCAUGUUGGUUAGAGAAAGCUAGUUACUGCCAGAAGUUGGGUUUGAUUGGAACUUUGUAUUUUGUGGGACACAUGCCAGGUGAUUUUGAUGUAAGUUUAAUAAGUAUGUGUUGUGAGUGUAACAAUUUUUACACUAUCAAUUAAUUAAAAAUCAUUAUAUAAUAUAAUUUUAAGAUAUUUGUGGAAAAGCUUUAAAAAAAUGAUGAAACAUGUUGGUUUAUGAUUAAAAGAGAGUAUAAAACUAUGUAUUUACUAUAUAUUUAAUAUUUCUAUUUAUAUCUUCAAAAUUUGGACAAUGUUUGUGGAAAUUAAAAUGGUAAAUACUUUUUUUUAGAAUUUAAUUUCUGUGUAUAAAAAUUGUUAUAUAUUAUUUCUAAUAUUUUUAUUGUACAAGUCAAUAAAGUUACUACAUAUGAAAAUUUAUAAUUGAGUAACGCG
rnacentral:lncRNA from 1 species